rnacentral:rRNA from 1 species
UAACGCGUGAGUAACCUGCCCUAGAGUGGGGGACAACAGUUGGAAACGACUGCUAAUACCGCAUAAGCCCACGGUACCGCAUGGUACUGAGGGAAAAGGAUUUAUUCGCUUUAGGAUGGACUCGCGUCCAAUUAGCUAGUUGGUGAGGUAACGGCCCACCAAGGCGACGAUUGGUAGCCGGACUGAGAGGUUGAACGGCCACAUUGGGACUGAGACACGGCCCAGACUCCUACGGGAGGCAGCAGUGGGGGAUAUUGCACAAUGGGGGAAACCCUGAUGCAGCGACGCCGCGUGGAGGAAGAAGGUUUUCGGAUUGUAAACUCCUGUCGUUAGGGACGAUAAUGACGGUACCUAACAAGAAAGCACCGGCUAACUACGUGCCAGCGGCCGCGGUAAAACGUAGGGUGCAAGCGUUGUCCGGAAUUACUGGGUGUAAAGGGAGCGCAGGCGGGAAGACAAGUUGGAAGUGAAAACCAUGGGCUCAACCCAUGAAUUGCUUUCAAAACUGUUUUUCUUGAGUAGUGCAGAGGUAGAUGGAAUUCCCGGUGUAGCGGUGGAAUGCGUAGAUAUCGGGAGGAACACCAGUGGCGAAGGCGGUCUACUGGGCACCAACUGACGCUGAGGCUCGAAAGCAUGGGUAGCAAACAGGAUUAGAUACCCUGGUAGUCCAUGCCGUAAACGAUGAUUACUAGGUGU